GCGCCCGUAGCUCAGUGGAUAGAGCGCAAGAUUGCGGAUCUUGAGGCCGCUGGUCCGAAUCCAGCCGGGCGCG
rnacentral:tRNA from 1 species